rnacentral:rRNA from 1 species
UUACGGCCAUAUUACAUUGAAAUACCGGUUCCCGUACGAUCAGCGAAGUUAAGAAAUGUCAAGCCUGGUCAGGACCUAGGUAGCUGAACGCUUGGGAAUACCAGGUAU